UUUCCGUAGGUGAACCUGCGGAAGGAUCAUUACUGAUUUGGCGGACCGAGCGUCAGCGAGGUUCCGCGAUCACCUGUAUUUAAAACCCACACUUUUGAAUUAUAUGUAUAUUUUUGUAUUUUUGAUAAAAAAAGAUCACUUUCAACAACGGAUCUCUUGGCUCUCGCAUCGAUGAAGAACGUAGCGAAGUGCGAUAAGUGAUGUGAAUUGCAGAAUUCCGUGAAUCAUCGAAUCUUUGAACGCAAAUUGCACUCACUGGUAUUCCGGAGAGUAUGCCUGUUUGAGGGUCAGUUCAAUAAAAAUCGAUGUUGUUGCCGUCUUGCGUGGUGACGCAUCGGAUGUGGGUCGUCUUACCUUCGGUUAAGUGACCUAAAAUUUUGCAUGAUUUUUUUCGAACGUGUUUAAAUUAUUUACGUGCGUUCGUGAUAAUCGAACAUUAGACGUGAUUCAUUCUCAUGAUUCGCGCCUAUGAUUUCUCAUCAAAAUGACCUCAAAUCAGGUAAGAGUACCCGCUGAACUUAA
rnacentral:rRNA from 1 species